UACGUAGGGUGCAAGCGUUGUCCGGAAUUAUUGGGCGUAAAGAGCUCGUAGGCGGUCUGUCGCGUCGGCUGUGAAAACUCGGGGGCUCAACCCCGAGCCUGCAGUCGAUACGGGCAUCACUGGAGUUCGGCAGGGGAGACUGGAAUUCCUGGUGUAGCGGUGAAAUGCGCAGAUAUCAGGAGGAACACCGGUGGCGAAGGCGGGGUCUCUGGGCCGAUACUGACGCUGAGGAGCGAAAGCGUGGGGGAGCAAACAGG
rnacentral:rRNA from 1 species